CGUUUGUUGUGUGAGGGAGUAACUCUUUGUAUGUGUAGCAUUCUGUGUAAACAUCUCGGAUGUUCCAUCUCGUGGAAAAAAUCCGCGAAAAAACCCCCAGCACUUUUUCUAUGCUCCACCCACAAAGGGCCGUCUCCGACUCCACACAGCGCUUCGACACACACACACACACACACACACACACCGUGUUACACACACCGUGCCAGCAAGUCAAACUCUCACAUAGCCGCUCACUCGGGCCGCCAUCCACCGCAACACACACACACCACACACACACACACACACACACACACACACACACACACACACACACACACCGUGUUACACACACCGUGCCAGCAAGUCAAACUCUCACAUAGCCGCUCACUCGGGCCGCCAUCCACCGCAACACACACACACCACACACACACACACACACACACACACACACACACACACACACACACACACCGUUGACUCAUGCAGAGCUGGAGAAUCAGGUUUACUCGGUUUAGUUAAGCUCAUUUAUCUGUGCGCUUCCUCAUACUGUAACAAAGACAUUGGAGAAAAACAAAACAUAGAUACAAAGCCUGCUAUUAAAAACAGCUUAAUAUUUCAUAAUAAAUAACAUCGAAUUCUGAUAUUAAAAAAACUUUAUUAAUAGCCACAUUAAAUAAAUUAUAAACACAUUUUAAUG
ensembl:lncRNA